rnacentral:lncRNA from 1 species
AUUGAAGUUAGAAAAGAUUGGUGUUUAUAUGUCAUUAGUACAUGCUUAUAAGUUAUGUUAUANUNAUGUACAUGUUUAAAGGUACAUAUAGGUUAUAUAUGUUAUGAUUGUAUAUAUUGUCUUGUAAAACAAUGUAUGUCAUGACUCAUAUUAGACUACUCAACGAUUAUAUUUUGAAAUAUCAUUGUACAAAUAAUUUUUAUUCAUACAUUAAAGUAAUGAACAUUCUUUCUGAGA